rnacentral:rRNA from 1 species
AUACGUAGGUGGCAAGCGUUGUCCGGAUUUAUUGGGCGUAAAGCGCGCGCAGGCGGUCCUUUAAGUCUGAUGUGAAAUCUUGCGGCUCAACCGCAAGCGGUCAUUGGAAACUGGGGGACUUGAGUGCAGAAGAGGAAAGCGGAAUUCCACGUGUAGCGGUGAAAUGCGUAGAGAUGUGGAGGAACACCAGUGGCGAAGGCGGCUUUCUGGUCUGUAACUGACGCUGAGGCGCGAAAGCGUGGGGAGCAAACAGGAUUAGAUACCCUGGUAGUCCACGCCGUAAACGAUGAGUGCUAAGUGUUGGAGGGUUUCCGCCCUUCAGUGCUGCAGCUAACGCAUUAAGCACUCCGCCUGGGGAGUACGGUCGCAAGACUGAA